AACAAACGCUGGCGGCGUGCCUAAUACAUGCAAGUCGAACGGGGAAAGCUUUCGGGUGAGUACUAGUGGCGCACGGGUGAGUAACGCGUGGAUAAUCUGCCUUAGAGUGGGGGAUAACUAGUCGAAAGAUGAGCUAAUACCGCAUAAGACCACAAGAACUGCCGUUCAAGGGGUCAAAGGGUUUUCGCUCUAAGAUGAGUCCGCGUAAGAUUAGCUAGUUGGUAGGGUAACGGCCUAACAAGCCGACGAUCUUUAGCUGGUCUGAGUUGAUGUUCAGUCACACUGGAACUGAGACACGGUCCAGACUCCUACGGGAGGCAGCAGUAGGGAAUAUUGCACAAUGGAGGAAACUCUGAUGCAGCGACGCCGCGUGAGUGAUGAAGGCCUUCGGGUCGUAAAGCUCUGUCGCAGGGGAAUAACACAAUGAAGGUACCCUGUAAGAAAGGAUCGGCUAACUUCGUGCCAGCAGCCGCCGUAAAAC
rnacentral:rRNA from 1 species